rnacentral:lncRNA from 1 species
UGAUCAUCUAGUCCUCUUGAAGAUGGGGUGCAUACAGCAGACUGAGAGGAGAAGAAAGAGGGUACCACUGUGUGCUUUAAGGAAAACCCAGGUAAAGACAGACCUCAACUAAGGGUGAGGGGAUGAGAACUGUCAGCAGAAACGUGGAAACUGUGACCACAGGUUAAGACUGUGAGAGAUCCUACAGCCAGAAACAGUAGAAAGCAGACACUAUUAAAGGGGGAAGAUGUUUUGAUUAUUUUUAGAGCCAAGCAGUUGCACCACCUAGUCAAGAUGUCCGAUAAAGCAUCUGAGGUGGGCUCUAGGCUUUCGUGAGCAAGUACGGUGGGUGCAGAAGAGCGUCAGACCAGCACAUGGGCCAACAGCAACUUUGGUUUGUGCUGGGGACCCAGGAAGUGCUUUCCAUAUCCAAGUAGGAGUUUCUAGGUCCCUGAACAAUCCUGUCCAUGCCUAACCAAGGUUUCUGGCUGUUUUGCAGUCCCAGGCAUCUGAAUUAGUAGACCUAAUACAUGGGGUGAUUUCCUUGCAUUCUUGCUGGACAAGCAUCUAGCCAGGGUGGAGGAGGCCUUAGAAAAAAGGGUAAGCACAUUUAAUUGGAUCAAACCCGUGUCUCUACUGUUUGCUUCAACUAAUCUGUAGGUUUGGGGGGUUCAUUUUGGUUUUGAUUCGUUGAACUCACUCUCCAGCCUGCCGCCUGAACCUGUAAAUGCUGGCUUAAGUGCGUGUAUUAGCACAUGUUCUCUUUAGUUAAAUCCCAGGUUUGCUGUGCAAUGCCAACAUUUUAAAAGUACUGAGUGCUUAAAUUGAUUUUUUUUUAAAGCUGAAGUCUCACUUCUUUCUGUGUAGUUUGAAGACAUUUAAAAUGACUAAGACCUACCUUAAAUCCUUACAAAAGUUAGUUUGGGUCAGACGAAUGAAGUACUUAAGAAAUCAAUUAGGGUGUGCUGGCAUGUGCCACCCUAAUCCUGGCAUUUGGGAGGCUUUGCUGAAAGCCAUAGCAAGACCUGUCUCAAACAAAACAGAAAGUAAAUACAUCAGAUAAUAUUUGCCAUUUUC